rnacentral:rRNA from 1 species
AUGGACGCAAGUCUGAUGGAGCAACGCCGCGUGAGUGAAGAAGGUCUUCGGAUCGUAAAACUCUGUUGUUAGAGAAGAACACGAGUGAGAGUAACUGUUCUUUCGAUGACGGUAUCUAACCAGCAAGUCACGGCUAACUACGUGCCAGCAGCCGCGGUAAUA